UACGGGGGGGGGCAAGCGUUGUUCGGAAUUACUGGGUGUAAAGGGUUCGUAGGCGGUGCGGCAAGUCGGGAGUGAAAUCUCUGGGCUUACCCAGAGGCUGCUUCCGAAACUGCUGUGCUUGAGUGUGGGAGAGGCGCGUGGAAUUGCAGGUGUAGCGGUGAAAUGCGUAGAUAUCUGCAGGAACACCCGUGGCGAAAGCGGCGCGCUGGACCACUACUGACGCUGAGGAACGAAAGCUAGGGGAGCAAACAGG
rnacentral:rRNA from 1 species